CACUUAGGUCCACAAGAGAAAGGUUUAUUUGGUAACCAAGAGUGAAAAUGCAGGUGGAGCUUAAGCUGCACCGGGUCCUGAGAGUGUGUUAUGUUUCUUCUGCUGUACAGAAAGUGUCAUACUGCUGAAUACUGUGGGAGAUGCUGAGUGCCAGCAUUAAAGCUGGAAGUGUUUGAGGGCUGUGGACAGAACUCCCACGGAGAGGCAGAGGAAGUGCAGCCUGACAGAUGGAGUCAGCGCCUUUCCAGGAAUGCCCCUGCAUGGGACAUCAACCUCUUGUUCCACAAAAUGCUUCACUCCAGUCACUAUCCCCAAAGUCCUUCAGAAGAAAACUAGCAGCUGAAGAGACUGGCAAUUCUCAUUCUAUCACAUCACACUAACAGCAUGUCCUUUCCUGCAUCUUCAACCUUGAGCUGUACCUGUUCAGGAGCUGGCGGAUGAAUGCAGUGACCAGAGGGCUGCACAGAGGCUUCCAGCCACAGCUGAACUUCCUUUGUAUUGUGAGCUGCUGAAAAUAGCUUUGAGGGCAGCUAGGAGAACCUGUACCUAGGCAUUGAAUUCUAUACCUUAGUAACAUGGCUGCUUUCUGUUCAGCUGACCACACAUGGUUUUGACUCCUUGGAAAUAAUAUUAUUAGCAAUUCAGUUUCCUGCAUCCAAAUAUUUAAAUUUAAAAAGUAGCCAAAGUAAUCCACACAAAAACAAUAUGGAAAGAGAUGUGGGAAGGACUGCAAGAUAGUCUCACCGUAAAUGAAAUAAGGGUAUUUGAAUCUCAGAGAAAUAUUUCUAUCCUUGCAGACAUUUUUUCACCCUUAAUAAAAAGAAGUAGAAUAGGAAUUUGCUGUUAAAGAUUAUAUCUGAAUCAAUGUAAUAAAAAUACUGCAUUCCAAGAGAAAAUAGAUGAAGUAACGAAGAGGAAGAAAAAACAAACAAAAGAAAUAAUAAGUUUUUGUCUUAAAAUUUACAUGAGGUAAAGGGUGGAACGAUGCUCUUAGUCUGUCAUGAGUGCAUGGAAGCCUGUGGGGAAAUGGAAAUUAAUGUGAUGCAUUAAUUUAAUCAGUAUCUCUACAUAUGUGAUAUCUGCCCAAGAAAAGUUACUUAUAGUACCAUGCAGGAUGCUGUGUGGGCUGAUGGUGCAUUGGAAAUAACACUAAUGCUCCUAAAAACUACAUGUGACCUUAAAUCCACAAAGAAAAGAAGAAUGCAACAGAAUUAAAACACGUAAAGUCACUAAAAUGUGAAUGUUAUGAUAUGAGGCAAACUGAUAUUUUGCUAGGCUUUUAUUUUUACAUUAUUCAGAAGACAUAAAGAAAACCAGUACCUAGGAAAAAGGGUAUGAAAAAGGGGUAAAGAAAAUUUAAGUGUGUUUGGAGAAAGGCAGAACCAGGCAUAGCUUAGGAUCCUUCUCAAGAAAAAGUCCUACAAAAAUGUGUGGAUUUGAUUACUUAUUUCCCAUAAACUCUUAAAUAGUCAUUUAUUUUAUAGCAGAACACUAACCAAAUGCAAUAUGGGUUUUCAUAGCUACCAGCUCAGCAAAACAUCACAUAAUACUGACUUUACAAUCACUUUUCACUCAUCUUGUAUUGAAAGCAAUGUAUUUUGACAAAAGUGUUCAUCUCUAUACACCUUUUCCAAAAUUAUGAGCAAAAAAAUUCUGUAGUGUAAAAAAUGAAAGCAAAAAUCCUGUUAAUAUUAGAAGAUAUUUAUUUUAAAAUACUAAAUAUUUCAGUUAUUUCUCUGUGCUCCCUCAGAGAAAAAUGUUUAAAUGAGAAAAUCCUCUGUGGCUUUCAAAAUUAACUGACUCUCCUGUUGGCAGUCAAAGCUCAGAAGCCAGCUAUUCUUUUCCAUUAAAAUAAUCCCUCUAUGUCCUGGAAUGAGAAUGCCUGUAUUCGUGGGGGCAAACAAAGACCAAUGGUGGCUUCAUUCCCUCUGCUAAUAGAUUUUAGUUAAUCUUCUGAGAACUAUUCUACUUUCUAAGUUUCAUAACAAUUAGAUUCUGCAUUACCUACUAGUGUACACUGGUGACAACAAAAGAAAAUAAAGUUUUUAUG